rnacentral:rRNA from 1 species
AGAGUUUGAUCCUGGCUCAGGACGAACGCUGGCGGCGUGCUUAACACAUGCAAGUCGAACGGGAGUUACGAGGAAGCUUGCGAAUUGUAACUUUAGUGGCGGACGGGUGAGUAACGCGUGGAUAACCUGCCUACAUGACCGGGACAACACCGGGAAACUGGUGCUAAUACCGGAUACGCUCUUGACGGCACAUGUUAUUGAGAGGAAAGGAGCAAUCCGCAGGUAGAUGGGUCCGCGUCCCAUUAGCUAGUUGGCGGUGUAAAAGACCACCAAGGCGACGAUGGGUAGCCGGCCUGAGAGGGUGGACGGCCACACUGGAACUGAGACACGGUCCAGACUCCUACGGGAGGCAGCAGUGGGGAAUCUUCCGCAAUGGGCGCAAGCCUGACGGAGCAACGCCGCGUGAGUGAAGAAGGCUUUCGGGUUGUAAAACUCUGUCUUCAGGGAAGAAAAAAAUGACGGUACCUGAGGAGGAAGCCCCGGCUAACUACGUGCCAGCAGCCGCGGUAAAACGUAGGGGGCGAGCGUUGUCCGGAAUUACUGGGCGUAAAGGGCGCGUAGGCGGUUUCUUAAGUCAGAGGUGAAAACUACCGGCUCAACCGGUAGCCUGCCUUUGAAACUGGGAGACUUGAGGGCAGGAGAGGGGAGUGGAAUUCCCAGUGUAGCGGUGAAAUGCGUAGAUAUUGGGAGGAACACCAGUGGCGAAGGCGGCUCUCUGGCCUGUUUCUGACGCUGAGGCGCGAAAGCGUGGGGAGCAAACGGGAUUAGAUACCCCGGUAGUCCACGCCGUAAACGAUGGGUGCUAGGUGUAGGAGGUAUCGACCCCUUCUGUGCCGUAGUUAACACAAUAAGCACCCCGCCUGGGGAGUACGGCCGCAAGGUUGAAACUCAAGGA